AUUGAACGCUGGCGGCAGGCCUAACACAUGCAAGUCGAACGAGUGGCGGACGGGUGAGUAAUGUCUGGGAAACUGCCUGAUGGAGGGGGAUAACUACUGGAAACGGUAGCUAAUACCGCAUACCAUCGAAUGUGCCAGGAUGGGAUUAGCUAGUGGGUGGGGUAACGGCUCACCAAGGCGACGAUCCCUAGCUGGUCUGAGAGGAUGACCGGCCACACUGGAACUGAGACACGGCCCAGACUCCUACGGGAGGCAGCAGUGGGGAAUAUUGCACAAUGGGCGCAAGCCUGAUGCAGCCAUGCCGCGUGUGUGAAGAAGGCCUUCGGGUUGUAAAGUACUUUCAGCGGGGAAGCGUUACCCACAGAGGAAGCAACGGCUAACUCCGUGCCAGCAGCCGCGGUAAUAC
rnacentral:rRNA from 1 species